rnacentral:misc_RNA from 1 species
AAGUCGUAACAAGGUUUCCGUAGGUGAACCUGCGGAAGGAUCAUUAUCGAGUUUUGAACGGGUUGUAGCUGGCCUUUAACGAGGUAUGUGCACACCUGGCUCAUCCACUCUCAACCUCUGUGCACUUUAUGUAAGAAACGGUGUAAGCCAGCUAUUUAAUAGUUGGUAACAAGCCUUUCUUAUGUUUACUACAAACGCUUCAGUUAUAGAAUGUUUACUGUGUAUAACACAAUUAUAUACAACUUUCAGCAACGGAUCUCUUGGCUCUC